UGAGGAAUAUUGGGCAAUGCCCGAAAGGGUGACCCAGCAACGCCGCGUGGAGGAUGAAGGUCGUAAGAUUGUAAACUCCUGUUAGAGGGGAAGAAUAACUAAGUUUGGAGCUUAGUAUGACUGUACCCUCAGAGAAAGCCCCGGCUAACUACGUGCCAGCAGCCGCGGUAAUACGUAGGGGGCAAGCGUUGUCCGGAUUUACUGGGUGUAAAGGGCGCGCAGACGGAAUGGAAAGUCAGUGGUGAAAUCCUACAGCUUAACUGUAGAACUGCCUUUGAUACUUUCAUUCUUGAGUUCGGGAGAGAGAGACGGAAUUCCAGGUGUAGUGGUGAAAUACGUAGAUAUCUGGAAGAACACCAGUUGCGAAGGCGGUCUCUUGGUCCGAUACUGACGCUGAGGCGCGAAAGCGUGGGGAGCAAACA
rnacentral:rRNA from 1 species